UACAGAGGGUGCAAGCGUUAAUCGGAAUUACUGGGCGUAAAGCGUGCGUAGACGGUUAUGUAAGUCGGGGGUGAAAGCCCCGGGCUCAACCUGGGAAUUGCAUUCGAGACUGCAUAGCUAGGGUGCGGAAGAGGGAAGCGGAAUUUCCGGUGUAGCGGUGAAAUGCGUAGAUAUCGGAAGGAACACCAGUGGCGAAAGCGGCUUCCUGGUCCAGCACCGACGUUCAGGCACGAAAGCGUGGGGAGCAAACAGG
rnacentral:rRNA from 1 species